GUGGGGAAUAUUGGACAAUGGGCGCAAGCCUGAUCCAGCCAUACCGCGUGGGUGAAGAAGGCCUUCGGGUUGUAAAGCCCUUUUGUUGGGAAAGAAAUCCUGUCGAUUAAUACUCGGUGGGGAUGACGGUACCCAAAGAAUAAGCACCGGCUAACUUCGUGCCAGCAGCCGCGGUAAUACGAAGGGUGCAAGCGUUACUCGGAAUUACUGGGCGUAAAGCGUGCGUAGGUGGUGGUUUAAGUCUGCUGUGAAAGCCCUGGGCUCAACCUGGGAAUUGCAGUGGAUACUGGGUCACUAGAGUGUGGUAGAGGGAUGCGGAAUUUCUGGUGUAGCAGUGAAAUGCGUAGAGAUCAGAAGGAACAUCCGUGGCGAAGGCGGCAUCCUGGGCCAACACUGACACUGAGGCACGAAAGCGUGGGGAGCAAACAGGAUUAGAUACCCGUGUAGUCC
rnacentral:rRNA from 1 species